GAGAGAGAGUGAAGAGGGAGCAAUAGAGAGAGUCGAGAGGAAGGGCUAGGGGAGACAGAGGCGGCGGCCGCGGCGGCGAGCUAAGGCCGGUGACGACCGUACGAAGCGGUGGCAUGAACGGUGGAUGUCGAGGGGGAGCUCGACUAGAUGGAAGAGGUGGGCGAGCUAAACGAAUAGGAAGGAGAGCGCGCGCGCUCAGGGGGAGAGGGAUGCGCUGAGGUACGGCGGCGGCGGGUGCGGCCGCCCAAGGCCGCUAAAGGUGGUCCCGCGUUGUCCGAAGGCGCGAGGGGAGAGUGGCCCGGAAGUAGGUCAUACCGGUCUAGGCGGCCCGCACCGGGGAUGGGAGUGGGUGCCGAUCCCUAAACCGCCGAGGUUGCAGCCGCACCGAGUUCAUCCAGUGGGUAGUGCGCCUGCCCAGCUUCGCGACCUAGAGCCCUGUCCCGCCGCGCCUCCGGAAGGAGGGUAUCCUAAGGCUCGAGCUGCUAGGAUCGCCGACGGCAGGAACGGGGCGAGCUCCUCCUCCCGGCGUGGAUCGUCCGGUGGUUACCGGACAAGACGAGGAGCAGAAGGAGGUGACGACAGUGUGGGGUGUUCGUCUAGCCCCCUUAAAGUCUGUUCCCUAAGCUAGAUCCCAAGAUUGAACGAGCAUAAUUGAGCUUAUACGAUUUCAUAUAAGGAGUGUCUCCCUCCAAAUCCAUAUGUAACAAACCUAUAAAGACCCUUAGCUUACUUACCGAUGUUCGCGUGUCACGACCGACAAUAUAUCGGAGCUGUUGUCGUCACUGGCCGUUGGACGACUUUGCCAUGUCCCUUGCCCGCUCGCUAGGAAAGAUGAACUGCGAACUGUCGGCUGGUUAUUGACUUGAAGAAGACGUGGACUGUUACGGGGGAGCUCUUUUACUUGAACAGGAGUUCCUCAGAGUUAAGAGUUGCAGGAACCGCGGUUGAGAGUUGACAAACGAACUUCUUUCUGCCUUUACACAUAAACUACUUUAGACGUAGAAGGGUGCUCCUUAGGAGGCCUCCAUCCAAGCGGGUAACCUGGUUGGUAACGUGGUGCCCGUCCAACAAAGAGCCUUAAACCGUGUAAACGUUUUGGUCACGGCCAAGGACGAACUAUAACGGGAGAAGACAAUGGUUACCAUUUAGUCGCGUUCCUUGUUGGACUCCUGGUUAUACCGCGAAAUUGACUGACUGUACCUUUUGACCCACCUAGAAGCGAGGGAGUCCGUUAUACUCUACUAUCCGGUGUAAAGGGUGGAACACAUCGUGGGAUUUACCAGGUAUUUUAAACGAAACCUCAAAUUACACACAAAAUUGAGGUUUUCGUAAGUCUUCUAUUCCAACGUAGAAGUUUAUAUGGUACAGCGGAAGGACUUUUCUAGAAAGGGACGCAAACGCCAGUCGUUUGAAAAAGUAGGAGAGGACUCGUGCGACGUUCAAAAGGAAGUCUUGUGGGUUGUCAACGACAGACAGACAAUUGUCAAGAAAUCAAAGUAACAACACUUACUGUAUAAGUGACUCAACACCUCCUCCUAUGGGUAUUUCUCGGAGUUUACCCCAGAAGAAGUCUCUUCUUACUUUACUUGAUAACAUGGUUAUAAGUCGGUAACCAUUUACAACGUGGGUGAACCAACCUACUCGUCUUCAUUCUGUGGACUCUAUCAAAAGUUACGUAACCAAUUGGGAGAGCCAAACCGGUAGACUAACACCUACUAUUCGACUUGACAUAGAGUUCAGUUGAAAGUCACGACGUUUUUAUAGGAAGGUAUCGACUGAUCACUUUAAAAACAGAGACAGUCUAUGAUACCGUUAUCCUCCCGGUACGUCAAAUUACUAUAACAGUUACUUAUGAACUCGGUGACAGAAGUGUCAUUUUCCUACACUGUCUCAUUCCUUCACACGUUUGAAACACUCGGACAGUUGUUGGUGUUUUUAGUGAAGGAAGGGAACACUGAAACCUUCAGGAAGAUACUUUAGGUAUGAGUCUACUCAGGUACGGUAUAGUCCUUAUACGUCUCCCAAUUCAUCGGGUCCUAUUACCGUCCAAAGGGGGAAUAAAAAGACUGUUUGUACCGUAAGACAGUGGGUAAAAAGAUGUAGUCUAAACUCCGGUCCGGUUAUCUUUUAAAAGAAAUAGGAAAGUAUUCUUCGAAAAGACGGACUUACGGGAGGGUUUCGGCUACUUACAUUCCGAACAUACUAAAACCUAAACUCAAGAUGUAGUAAAGGUUACAUCUAAAACG
rnacentral:rRNA from 1 species